rnacentral:rRNA from 1 species
ACCUCUAGCAUAAACAGUAUUAGAGGCACUGCCUGCCCAGUGACACACGUUUAACGGCCGCGGUAUCCUGACCGUGCAAAGGUAGCAUAAUCACUUGUUCUUUAAAUGAGGACUAGUAUGAAUGGCUUGACGAGGGUUUAACUGUCUCUUACUUUUGAUCAGUGAAAUUGACCUUCCCGUGAAGAGGCGGGAAUUUAUUAAUAAGACGAGAAGACCCUAUGGAGCUUAAAUUUUAUAGUCUUACAACCUUAACAACCACCCAAGGGAAUAAAACAAUUGUACACAGACUAGAAAUUUUGGUUGGGGUGACCUCGGAGUACAGACAAACCUCCGAAUGAUAAUAAUCUAGACACAACAUGUCCAAAUUAAAAUUCAUAAAUUGACCCAAAUUAUUGACCAACGGAACAAGUUACCCUAGGGAUAACAGCGCAAUCCUACUCAAGAGUUCAUAUCGACAGUCAGGGUUUACGACCUCGAUGUUGGAUCAGGACAUCCAAAUGGUGUAACCGCUAUUAAUGGUUCGUUUGUUCAACGAUUAAAGUC